GACGGAGGAUGCAAGUGUUAUCCGGAAUCACUGGGCGUAAAGCGUCUGUAGGUGGUUCGAAAAGUCCACUGUUAAAAAUUGAGGCUUAACUUCAAAGAUGCCGUGGAAACUUUCAAGCUAGAGUAUGGUAGGGGUAGAGGGAAUUUCCAGUGGAGCGGUGAAAUGCGUAGAUAUUGGAAAGACCACCGAUGGCGAAGGCACUCUACUGGGCCACUACUGACACUGAGAGACGAAAGCUAGGGGAGCAAAUGGG
rnacentral:rRNA from 1 species